CCCCAAACUAGUCACUACUCUCUUAGCAGUAAAGACAGUUGAUAAUGAUGGUUAAUAUUUAUUGAGCUCUUACUGUGUGCCAGGCACUGUUCUAGGUGCUUCCCAUGUAUUGAUUCAGUCAAUCCUCACUAUGACUUUUUUAGUAAAGUGCCAUUAUUCUUCUCAUUGUACAAAUGAGGAAAGUAAGGCAAAGCAAGUUUGAGAAAGUUGCCCUCGGCUACAAAGCCUUGUGGGGCAUAGGCAAGAUGCUGCUCCUCUAACCUUCAUGCCCCUCUUUCCCUCUCCUCCCUUGCCAGCAGUAGAUCAGGCUGAGUACUAGUUGUAUAUUUUGCAGAACAACACAACGGGUGGGAGUAGUACUCCCAUUUAACAGAUGGGAAAGUAGAGGCAUUAACAAGAUAAGGAAACUGACGCACUGCCUGUGGGCAUUAGCCAAAGCCACUCUCAUAGGAUGCUUAGCCUAUUUUUUCUUCCAAUUCAUAUGUCACACGUGGAUUUUUUUCUUUCCCAAGAAGUCUUAUCUGAGAGUGACUUGUGCCUAGUGGAGUUUAAGUAACUCUAGUAGUGUCAAGUGAAUACAACUGGCUGGAUAAACGAAUGGAUAGAUGGGUGGGUGGAUGCAUGGAUGGAUGGAUGAAUGAGGAGGUGGACAGGUGGCGGAAUGGCUAAGCUAAAUACUGAGCUACAAGGAGGGCUCAAGGAAUGGCAUGUUAGGGAAGAAGGACUGCAUUCCUAAGACUGCAACUAUGGUCAAGAAUUCUAAGUUCUCGAAGGUGGCAGCAAAGUUGGGAGCCUGCAGAGCUGGAAAGAUCCAGAGACCAGAGAGAGAAGCAAGACCCACAGUCUACCCGAGCCCCAGCGCCGUAGUACACAUCAGGCCCUUAUUCCACAUAGCCUGCAAGCGAGUCACCUGUCAAUGGGUUGAUUUGUCUUUCUUCUGUAUAUUUAUGAAGCUGUUGAUCCUAUGGUAACCUUAUCCUUACCUCUGGUGGAGCAGGAGGAAGAGAAAGCAAGAAAGACAGAAACAGAGAAGCUGGUUUUACCCCUUCCCUUCCUCAGGGCGCCACAGCAUUCCCUAUAACUCUGGGGAACAGUGAGGAUGAUGCAAGAACAGAGACAGUUUCAAAAAAGAGUUAAGGUGUAAUUAAUUAAUUGGGACCCCCUGCCCACGGCUGUCAUUUUUAUUUGAGGUGACCUCAGCUCUCUUGCUGGAGUCUGAUUUUAGUCCUGGCUCCUUUUGCUUCCGUGUUACCAUUCUACUCAGUCCUCCUACAUCUUUAUUAAACCUACAUUUUCUGAAUGACCCAAAUUUGUUCUUAAAUAGUGCCG
rnacentral:lncRNA from 1 species